rnacentral:rRNA from 1 species
GAUGAACGCUGGCGGCGUGCCUAAUACAUGCAAGUCGAGCGAACAGACGAUGAGCUUGCUCCUCUGACGUUAGCGGCGGACGGGUGAGUAACACGUGGAUAACCUACCUAUAAUACUGGGAUAACUUCGGGAAACAGGAGCUAAUACCGGAUAAUAUAUUGAACCGCAUGGUUCAAUAGUGAAAGACGGUUUUGCUGUCACUUAUAGAUGGAUCCGCGCUGCAUUAGCUAGUUGGUAAGGUAACGGCUUACCAAGGCAACGAUGCGUAGCCGACCUGAGAGGGUGAUCGGCCACACUGGAACUGAGACACGGUCCAGACUCCUACGGGAGGCAGCAGUAGGGAAUCUUCCGCAAUGGGCGAAAGCUUGACGGAGCAACGCCGCGUGAGUGAUGAAGGUCUUCGGAUCGUAAAACUCUGUUAUUAGGGAAGAACAAAUGUGUAAGUAACUAUGCACGUCUUGACGGUACCUAAUCAGAAAGCCACGGCUAACUACGUG